GUAGUCAUAUGCUUGUCUCAAAGAUUAAGCCAUGCAUGUCUAAGUACAUGCCGAAAUAAGGCGAAACCGCGAAUGGCUCAUUAAAUCAGUUAUGGUUCCUUAGAUCGUUUCUUCCUACUUGGAUAACUGUGGCAAUUCUAGAGCUAAUACAUGCAGUGAGCCUGAAGCCCUUUGGGCGACGGGUGCUUUUAUUAGACCAAGAUCGAUCGGGUUUCGGCCCGUAUUGUGUGGUGACUCUGGAUAACUUUGUGCUGAUCGCAUGGCCACGAGCCGGCGACGUUUCUUUCAAGUGUCUGCCUUAUCAACUUUCGAUGGUAGGUUACUUGCUUACCAUGGUUGUUACGGGUAACGGAGAAUCAGGGUUCGAUUCCGGAGAGGGAGCCUGAGAAACGGCUACCACAUCCAAGGAAGGCAGCAGGCGCGCAAAUUACCCACUCCCGGCACGGGGAGGUAGUGACGAAAAAUAACAAUACGGGACUCUUUUGAGGCCCCGUAAUUGAAAUGAGUACACUCUAAAUCCUUUAACGAGGAUCAAUUGGAGGGCAAGUCUGGUGCCAGCAGCCGCGGUAAUUCCAGCUCCAAUAGCGUAUACUAAAGCUGCUGCGGUUAAAAAGCUCGUAGUUGGAUCUCAGUUCCAGACGAGUAGUGCAUCUACCCGAUGCGACGGCUCGGACUGAACAUCAUGCCGGUCCUUUCUUGGUGCACUUCAUUGUGUGCCUCGAGAAGGCCGGUGCUUUUACUUUGAAAAAAUUAGAGUGCUCAACGCAGGCGAGUCGCCUGAAUAAACUUGCAUGGAAUAAUAGAACAAGACCUCGUUUCUGUUCUGUUGGUUUUUGGAAUACGAGGUAAUGAUUAAGAGGGACAGACGGGGGCAUUCGUAUUGCGGCGCUAGAGGUGAAAUUCUUGGACCGUCGCAAGACGAACUACUGCGAAAGCAUUUGCCAAGAAUGUUUUCUUUGAUCAAGAACGAAAGUCAGAGGUUCGAAGGCGAUCAGAUACCGCCCUAGUUCUGACCAUAAACGAUGCCAACCAGCGAUCCGCCUGAGUUACUCAAAUGACUCGGCGGGCAGCUUCCGGGAAACCAAAGUGUUUGGGUUCCGGGGAAGUAUGGUUGCAAAGCUGAAACUUAAAGGAAUUGACGGAAGGGCACCACCAGGAGUGGAGCUGCGGCUUAAUUUGACUCAACACGGGAAAACUUACCCGGCCCGGACACUGGGAGGAUUGACAGAUUGAGAGCUCUUUCUUGAUUCGGUGGAUGGUGGUGCAUGGCCGUUCUUAGUUGGUGGAGCGAUUUGUCUGGUUAAUUCCGAUAACGAACGAGACUCUAGCCUAUUAAAUAGGUGCGGGGUUCCCAGCACCUUACAACCUUCUUAGAGGGACAAGCGGCUCCUAGCCGCACGAAACAGAGCAAUAACAGGUCUGUGAUGCCCUUAGAUGUCCGGGGCCGCACGCGCGCUACACUGAAGGAAGCAGCGUGUCUUUAUCCCUGUCUGAAAAGACUGGGUAACCCGUGGAACUUCUUUCGUGAUUGGGAUAGGGGCUUGCAAUUGUUCCCCUUGAACGAGGAAUUCCCAGUAAGCGCGAGUCAUAAGCUCGCGUUGAUUACGUCCCUGCCCUUUGUACACACCGCCCGUCGCUACUACCGAUUGAAUGAUUUAGUGAGGUCUUCGGACCGAUGUCCGGCGCGGCCUUUCGGUUGCGCCGGUCUGUUGGAAAGAUGACCAAACUUGAUCAUUUAGAGGAAGUAAAAGUCGUAACAAGGUUUCCGUAGGUGAACCUGCGGA
rnacentral:rRNA from 1 species